AAACAAAUAAAGUAAUGAAGAAAAAAACAUACAUGUUUGUAAGUAAAGGGCGCAAAUUGCUCACAUCCUAAGGACUGUAGGACAAGAAAAAGACUGAGGACCUUAGCAAUGGAGCCUCCUUUUAAAGCCUUGGUGUUUUUCCUGUCCUAUUGGCUGUAAGGGGCGGAGCUAACCCAUGUGUAUAUGCUGCCAUGAUUAGCCAGGAAAAUGUAUU